UUUCAAGAGACAGAGAGAGACAGAGUGUGAGCAGUGGAGGGGCAGAGAGAGAGGGAGACACAGAAUCCGAAGCGGGCUCCAGGCUCCAAGCUGUCAGCACAGAGCCCGACACGAGGCUCGAACCCACCAACCCUGAGAUCAUGACCUGAGCCGAAGCUGAAUGCUCAACCGACUUAGCCACCCAGUUCUCUUAGGUGUACCUUGGAGUAGAAUUAUAGAUCGCCUUCUUUUUGAAGAGUGGACCACGGCUAUGGACAUGUCACCGUCUUGUCAGAUGUGUGGUUCUGGCCGAAUGUUCCGGAAAUGUUCCUGAUCGCUCCCGUGCUCUGAAUGGAGUGACAGAUUGUAUGCUGUUGUUGACCCCAUCCAUGUGCCAGAUGAGGGGCAUAAUGGCAGGCAAGACAAAGCCCCUCCCCGACCCCCCUGUCCUUGCCUCAGUUCAAGCCGUGUCUUCUAAUGA